rnacentral:tRNA from 1 species
GAAUAAUAAGGUAUUCCAUUCUUAAUGUCUUAAUGUUAGGGCUUUAUUAACGAUUGAGUAUUAUUCGUUUUUUCUUUAUGAAUUGCAUCUAUCUAACUUA